rnacentral:tRNA from 1 species
GGUAAUGUGGCCGAGCGGUCUAAGGCGCUGGAUUUAGGCUCCAGUCUUUUCGGGGAAGUGGGUUCGAAUCCCACCACUGCCC